rnacentral:rRNA from 1 species
AUUGAACGCUGGCGGCAGGCUUAACACAUGCAAGUCGAGCGGAGAGAGGUAGCUUGCUACCGAUCUUAGCGGCGGACGGGUGAGUAAUGCUUAGGAAUCUGCCUAUUAGUGGGGGACAACACUUCGAAAGGAAUGCUAAUACCGCAUACGUCCUACGGGCGAAAGCAGGGGAUCUUCGGACCUUGCGCUAAUAGAUGAGCCUAAGUCGGAUUAGCUAGUUGGUGGGGUAAAGGCCUACCAAGGCGACGAUCUGUAGCGGGUCUGAGAGGAUGAUCCGCCACACUGGGACUGAGACACGGCCCAGACUCCUACGGGAGGCAGCAGUGGGGAAUAUUGGACAAUGGGCGCAAGCCUGAUCCAGCCAUGCCGCGUGUGUGAAGAAGGCCUUAUGGUUGUAAAGCACUUUAAGCGAGGAGGAGGCUACUUUAGUUAAUACCUAGAGAUAGUGGACGUUACUCGCAGAAUAAGCACCGGCUAACUCUGUGCCAGCAGCCGCGGUAAGAC